GAUGAACGCUGGCGGCAUGCCUAAUACAUGCAAGUCGAGCGAACAGACGAGGAGCUUGCUCCUCUGACGUUAGCGGCGGACGGGUGAGUAACACGUGGAUAACCUACCUAUAAGACUGGGAUAACUUCGGGAAACCGGAGCUAAUACCGGAUAAUAUAUUGAACCGCAUGGUUCAAUAGUGAAAGACGGUUUUGCUGUCACUUAUAGAUGGAUCCGCGCCGCAUUAGCUAGUUGGUAAGGUAACGGCUUACCAAGGCAACGAUGCGUAGCCGACCUGAGAGGGGGAUCGGCCACACUGGAACUGAGACACGGUCCAGACUCCUACGGGAGGCAGCAGUAGGGAAUCUUCCGCAAUGGGCGAAAGCCUGACGGAGCAACGCCGCGUGAGUGAUGAAGGUCUUCGGAUCGUAAAACUCUGUUAUUAGGGAAGAACAAAUGUGUAAGUAACUAUGCACGUCUUGACGGUACCUAAUCAGAAAGCCACGGCUAACUACGUG
rnacentral:rRNA from 1 species